UACGAAGGGGGCUAGCGUUGCUCGGAAUCACUGGGCGUAAAGGGUGCGUAGGCGGGUCUUUAAGUCAGGGGUGAAAUCCUGGAGCUCAACUCCAGAACUGCCUUUGAUACUGGCGGCCUCGAGUCCGGGAGAGGUGAGUGGAACUGCGAGUGUAGAGGUGAAAUUCGUAGAUAUUCGCAAGAACACCAGUGGCGAAGGCGGCUCACUGGCCCGAUACUGACGCUGAGGCACGAAAGCGUGGGGAGCAAACAGG
rnacentral:rRNA from 1 species